UACGUAGGGGGCAAGCGUUGUCCGGAAUUAUUGGGCGUAAAGCGCGCGCAGGCGGCUUUGUAAGUUUGGUGUUUAAUCUCAGAGCUCAACUCUGAUUCGCAUCGAAAACUGCAAGGCUUGAGUGCAGAAGAGGAAAGUGGAAUUCCACGUGUAGCGGUGAAAUGCGUAGAGAUGUGGAGGAACACCAGUGGCGAAGGCGACUCUUUGGCCUGUAACUGACGCUGAGGCGCGAAAGCGUGGGGAGCAAACAGG
rnacentral:rRNA from 1 species